CUUUCUCCCACUGUUGAUCAAAGGAGGUUUGAACUUGACCCUAGGGUGUUGUCCUCACUCCUCAGUUUCUUCUGUUUGAUCUUCUCUCCCGGUAAUGGCUGGAGGCCUCGAGGGGAGGAGCUCUGCAACUAGAGGAGUCGAGCAGGCCAUUGUUGCUCUGAAGAAGGGCGCACACCUACUGAAAUGCGGGAAGAGAGGGAAGCCCAAGCUCUGCUUUUUCAGGCUAUCUUAUGAUGAAAAAAUGCUGGCAUGGUUUUCCAAAGGGAGGGAAAAACGUUUGAGCUUGGAUUCUGUGUCUAGUGUAGUUCAAGGACAGAAAACGACAAACCUAUUGCGUUUGCAUUGGCCAGAAAAGGAACCUCACUCCUUGUCAGUCUUAUAUGAGAAUGGUGAAUUCUCACUGGACUUGAUCUGCAAAGACAAGGAUCAAGCUGAAUGUUGGUGUCUAGGUCUAUCAGGGCUAGUAUCUGCUCUAUUCGGACCUCUUCUUCUGGUUGAUUCAACAAGCAGCCGCCAGAUACACAGUUGCACAAAUAGCCCUCCUAGCUAUAUUCAGCAAAGGACUAGGCUAUUUUCAUUGCAUGAUACAAGAAAUUACACCCAGGUACACUCACUAUAUGGCAGUCCUAGGUUGGUACAGAACAAAGUAUCGAACAGCAGUCUGGAUUGCUCAGAAUCAUUCGUCUCUCCAAGGCAGAGAACAUUGUCAGACCUAGAUUUCUAUUUGGAAAGGAUUACCCCUGAAACGGCAAACAAAGAUAAAAACAGUUUGAGGGAUACAGGGGAUGCCGAUAAAAUUAAGGAGCAAAGAAUUACCCAAAUGCCUAAACUAAAAUCAUCUGAAGGAUCACAUGUGGCAUAUGGAACAGAUUCUAGGAAGGACAUCUUUUUCUGGGGAGACGUUCUUGGCAGUGUGUUAGACCAUGGAGAUGCAUCAAAAGCCAAUGUCUCACUUCCAAGGUUAUUGAACUCAACCCAGAUUCUUGAGGUGCAGAAUGUCGCCUGUGGAGAAGAACAUGCAGCAAUAGUUACUAAGCAAGGGGAGGUCUUUUCCUGGGAUAAAGAGAGUGGUGAUAGAUUGGGACACAAAGUAGGUGUCGGUGUCUCACAUCCCAAAAUUAUCGACUCGCUUGCCUUUACCCCUGUGAAGACUAUUGCAUUUGGGGCAAAGCACACCUGUGCACUUGCAGUUUCAGGAGAACUUUAUGAGUGGGGUGAAGGGGCUCACAGCUUGUGUUUAGGGGAUGAUCAGUGUCACAGAAGCCAAUGGUUCCCACACAAACUGUAUGAUCCUUUGGAUGGCAUAUCUGUGCUGAAGAUUUCAUGUGGUCAAUGGCACACAGCUAUCAUAUCCUCCUCUGGUCAACUGUUCACAUAUGGCGAUGGAACAUUUGGUGUUCUUGGACAUGGUGACACCAAGAGUGUUGCCCGGCCCAAAGAAGUUGAGUCUCUGAAGGGGGUAAGAGCCAAGGCUGUUGCAUGUGGGCCAUGGCACACAGCUGCCAUUGUGGAAAUAUUAGGUAAUGUCAAGAGCAAUGCUCCUAGUGGGAAGCUGUUCACCUGGGGCGAUGCAGAGAGAGGAAAGCUGGGCCAUGCCGAUGAUAAAAUGAAGCUUGUACCAACAUGUGUCAAGCCACUCACUGAUGUUGAUUUUGCUCAGGUAUCCUGUGCGAAGACACUAACAGUUGCACUUACAAUAACGGGUGUUGUUUUCACCAUUGGAAGCAAGCAACAUGGAAAAUUAGGGAUUAACCACCAAACCGAUGACGCGUCUAUUUGUACAGUUGAAGGGCCUCUUAAGACUGAGUUUGUCCGAGAGAUAUCAGCAGGCUCUUCCCACGUCGCAGUUUUAACAAUGAAUGGAAGGGUAUAUACUUGGGGCAAAGGCACAGAAGGUCAACUUGGUUUAGGUGACUAUGCUGACAGGUGCUCCCCAACUCUAGUGGAGUCAUUGGAAGAAAAGCAAGUGGAGAGUAUAGCUUGUGGUUCCAAUUUCACUGUUGCGGUUUGUUUACAUAGGUCAAUCUCAGGCAAGGAUCAAUCUGUAUGCCGCAGUUGCGGGUUGUCAUUUAGCUUCACAAGGAAGAAGCACCACUGCUACAACUGUGGUUCCAUGUUCUGCAAUUCCUGCAGCAGCAACAAGGUUUCGAGGGCAGCUCUUGUACCAGAUAGGAGCAAAAGGUACCGCGUUUGUGAUGUGUGUUUCACUCAACUGCAGAUAAAUGAAGAAAAUGGCACACUAAGUUCACGACUGACGACCCGAAAGGAGGAGCCAUUUCCAACAGAAAUAAGAGCAUAUACACCAAAGUUGUCACGUAUAAUCAAGGAAGCAAAUUCAAUCAUGGAAAAAAUGUCAAUGUCACCGGGUUCCAAUCAGAGAAAUCAAGACAUGGCUCCUCGGGAUCAAGUGAGAACACAGAGAUGGGGGCAAGUAGAGUGCCCAAGUCAAUUCAGAUGUGCACGAGACAACAUUCCAUGCUGUUCCACAUCAAGUAAACAGAGAGUCAAUGUUUCUCUUACACAGAGAAUGCCUGAAUCAGUGCCAUCAAAGUAUACCAGCUCUUUUCCACAAGCAGCUAGUAAUUUGAAAGCAGAGUCAGAUUCGGCGGAAAAGAUAUUACUAAGAGAAGUGAAACAGCUUCAAGCACAGGUGACCACCCUUGCAGAACAAUGCCGGCAUAGGAGUCUGAAGGUUCAGUCGUACAAACGAAAAGUUGAUGAAACAUGGCUAACUGUCAGGAAUGAAGCAGCAAAGAGUAAAACUGCAAAAGACAUUAUAAAGGUUUUAACCAAUCAGAGGAAUGCUUUGUCAAAGAAGAUUUCAGCUGGUCAGCAAUCAUACAACUCCGAGACUAUUCCUAGCCGCAUCACUAGUGGAGUAAAAGCAGAAUUACCAGACCCACCGGACGAAACCCCAGUGACAGUCAAAUCAAAGCCAAGCGGCAUCAGAGAUCACCAUGAGCAAUUAGGCAGGGAAUGUAUACAUUCUAAAAACACAGCUACGGUCAAUGACUCCACCGUGCGUAGAAAUGGCAGAAAGGAACCCAAUAACAGCUAUAUUUAUGCCAGCGAAACAGUUGCCACUGUUCAUCCUAUUGAUUCCUAUGGCACAGUCGAGCAAAUCUCUCGUGGGGUGUAUGUCACAAUUGUCACAUCCCCCGGUGGAAACAAGGGCCUCAAACGCAUCCGGUUCAGCCGGAAACACUUUGUCGAGAAGGAAGCACAAAAAUGGUGGGAAGCGAACAAGAGCAGACUGUUUGCAAAGUACAGCAGCAUGGAACAAUUGACAGAGUAAUCAGCUACGACAGCAGAUUUACAUUGUAAAUAGUAAGGGAUUCCAGAUGGUUACACACAGAAAGAUGCUACUGUUCUACUCCCUCCGUUCCAAAAUAUAGGCCAUUUUGGAAAGUUAGUUAGCUUUCUAAAAAGGCUUAUAUUUUGAAACCGAAGUAAUAGUAAGGUAGUAGGUCCCCAUGGUUAGCCCCUACAUGGCUGUGCAGAGGGUUGGUUUGAGUUGGAUUAGGGUUAGAUCUCCCCUCGAGUGGAGCAAUGGCGACUCGGGGUGCCGAGGGCUUUCUUUGAAGCUGCCUCUGCGCUCCCCGUAGAUCGCCGCAUCCCAGCCGCCACCGCUCCUGCUCCUCUAGCCCCCAUUGGGCCGCCGCAACAAAAUUUGUGUUUCGGUGGCAGUUUGACACCUCGGCCACAUCGUACUCCUCGCCCAUGCUUACCACGCGGGCCUCCACUCGUCCGCCACGCCUUACCUUCAUCUAUGUAGGAGCGGUAAGGGCAACCGAUUCAAUUCUCUUUUUUUCAGUUCAUUGUAUGUUCCUGCUUAUACAAGACGAAAGUUCCAUUUGUC